rnacentral:rRNA from 1 species
GUUGAACGCUGGCGGCAGGCUUAACACAUGCAAGUCGAGCGGAGAUGAGGUGCUUGCACCUUAUCUUAGCGGCGGACGGGUGAGUAAUGCUUAGGAAUCUGCCUAUUAGUGGGGGACAACAUUCCGAAAGGAAUGCUAAUACCGCAUACGUCCUACGGGAGAAAGCAGGGGAUCUUCGGACCUUGCGCUAAUAGAUGAGCCUAAGUCGGAUUAGCUAGUUGGUGGGGUAAGGGCCUACCAAGGCGACGAUCUGUAGCGGGUCGGAGAGGAUGAGCCGCCACACUGGGACUGAGCCACGGCCCAGACUCCUACUGGGGGCAUCAGUUGGGAAGAUUGGACAAUUGGGGGAACCCUUAUCAAGCCAUGCCGCGUGUGUGAAGAAGGCCUUAUGGUUGUAAAGCACUUUAAGCUAGGAGGAGGCUACUGAGACUAAUACUCUUGGAUAGUGGACGUUACUCGCAGAAUAAGCACCGGCUAACGCUGUGCCAUCAGCCGCAGUAACAC